GCCAGGCUGAUUGAUAGCUCUGCAGUGGCCCUGUUUACCACCAGAGUGAGGCACAGCAGCUGGCUGACAACCCUUCGAUUGACCCUGGUCAGCACUUUCAAGGUUCUCAGCUGCCUCGAGGCAAAUAGCUUCCUCCAACGUGCUCCCUGCUCCCGUGCUUCCGUCAGGGUGUACUUCCUUAACACACAGUGGGACGAACUGGCAAGCUGGCCGUGGACUGUGAGUCAAAAGAAACCUUCCCUCCUUUUAAGUGGGAUCAGCUCCUGGUGCCCUCCUCCACGUCACUCCUGAAAGGAAGAAAACAGAGCUGAAGUGGACUUCACAAUGGAGCUGACACACAUUCGGCCAAGCAAAGUUGGGAGUAGCAGAAUCCCAUGUUGACUUGAUUGUUUUCGUCUUCUUUUUUUUAAAGUGUGGUGUGUGUGUGUGUGUGUGUGUGUGUGUGUGUGUGUGUGUGUGAUAUGAACAUGUGUGUUGUGGUGGUUUAAAUAUGCUUGGCCCAUAGGGAGUGGCACUAUUAGGAGGCAUGGCCUUGUUGGAGGAAGUGUGUCACUG
rnacentral:lncRNA from 1 species